CGGGUGAGUAAUGUAUGGGGAUCUGCCUGAUGGCGGGGGAUAACUACUGGAAACGGUAGCUAAUACCGCAUAAUGUCUGCGGACCAAAGCGGGGGACCUCCGGGCCUCGCGCCAUCAGAUGAACCCAUAUGGGAUUAGCUAGUAGGUGAGGUAACGGCUUACCUAGGCGACGAUCCCUAGCUGGUCUGAGAGGAUGACCAGCCACACUGGAACUGAGACACGGUCCAG
rnacentral:rRNA from 1 species